GGUCGGGUGGCAACUCGAAGAGAGCCCGCUAACCCCGCCAGGUUCGGAAGGAAGCAACGGUACGUGGAUACUCCUGUUGACGUCGCUUUUCCUGACCACC
rnacentral:SRP_RNA from 1 species